rnacentral:rRNA from 1 species
UACGUAGGGUCCGAGCGUUGUCCGGAAUUACUGGGCGUAAAGAGCUCGUAGGUGGUUUGUCGCGUUGUCCGUGAAAACUCACAGCUUAACUGUGGGCGUGCGGGCGAUACGGGCAGACUGGAGUACUGCAGGGGAGACUGGAAUUCCUGGUGUAGCGGUGGAAUGCGCAGAUAUCAGGAGGAACACCGGUGGCGAAGGCAGCACUCUGGGACGUGACUGACGCUGAGACGCGAAAGCGUGGGGAGCAAACAGG